CCCCUAUGCGGACAGGGCGGCGCCGCCUCCACCACCUGCGCGCUACUCGUAUUAAAGUGCACCACUGCGCUUUUGUAAUCCAAGGUGUAAAUUAUUCAACAAGAUCGUCGUCGUCGUCGUCUCCAGGUGCACGUGCCGCGAUACGUCUUUGUCUGCCAGAGCGCGUUUCGUUCGCCUGCGCACCAUAGUGGAAGAGUUCUGUUGCAGACUGCACAUUCUAUAAAACUACCGCUUUUACACGCAUAAAAUCGUCCUCAUGCUAAAUUGUCAACUCUGCUUUAUUUUAUUUUAUUUUUUUGCCUUGUUUUUAUUGUUUAACAUUUGAUAGGUGAGAGAGGCACUAAGCCAGAGCACGUCAAUUAGGUUAACUUGGUGGUUUGGUAAAGACUAUGAAAGGAACGCAUAUUAAAAAUUCUUCUUUCAAAGAACACUUCAAUGUAUCUCACUGUACAUUUUUACCUUUAAAAUCUGGAAUGAGCUUAUCGUUUGUUAUUAAACUACUGUAACGAGCACUAUUCCAUAACUUUGAUUUUGAACCAAAAAUUCAUUUGUGUAAUUCAUUUUUUUUUUCUCGCUCUUUUUUUUUUUUUUUUUUCCCUCUAAGCUAUUUGUUAAAGUGCGGCAUGCAAGUAAAAAUACAUUCUCCACAGCAAUAAAACCUUUCCGUCUACUGGCUUUAUUGAAAUUGUGCUGUAGUGUGGAUUUUAGUUGCAGAGUAUCGAAGUUAAAGGACUUUGUAUCAUUUUCUUUCAUAGGAACACUUAACAGUUUUAAUAAAAAGACUGGAACUUG